rnacentral:rRNA from 1 species
CCUACGGGAGGCUGCAGUGGGGAAUAUUGCACAAUGGGGGAAACCCUGAUGCAGCGACGCCGCGUGAGUGAAGAAGUAUCUCGGUACGUAAAGCUCUAUCAGCAGGGAAGAAAAUGACGGUACCUGACUAAGAAGCCCCGGCUAACUACGUGCCAGCAGCCGCGGUAAUACGUAGGGGGCAAGCGUUAUCCGGAUUUACUGGGUGUAAAGGGAGCGUAGACGGCAGCACAAGUCUGGAGUGAAAUCCCGGGGCUUAACCCCGGAACUGCUUUGGAAACUGUGCGGCUGGAGUGCAGGAGGGGUAAGCGGACUUCCGAGGGUAGCGGUGAAAUGCGUAGAUAUUAGGAGGAAAACCGGUGGCGAGGGCGGCUUACUGGACUGUAUCUGCCGUGGAGGCUCGAAAGCGUGGGGAGCAAACAGGAUUAGAUACCCUGGUAGUC